rnacentral:rRNA from 1 species
ACCCGGAGAACUGAAACAUCUUAGUAACCGGAGGAAGAGAAAGAAAAUUCGAUUCCCUUAGUAGCGGCGAGCGAAACGGGAAGAGCCCAAACCAACAAGCUUGCUUGUUGGGGUUGUAGGACACUCUAUACGGAGUUACAAAGGACGACAUUAGACGAAUCAUCUGGAAAGAUGAAUCAAAGAAGGUAAUAAUCCUGUAGUCGAAAAUGUUGUCUCUCUUGAGUGGAUCCUGAGUACGACGGAGCACGUGAAAUUCCGUCGGAAUCUGGGAGGACCAUCUCCUAAGGCUAAAUACUCUCUAGUGACCGAUAGUGAACCAGUACCGUGAGGGAAAGGUGAAAAGCACCCCGGAAGGGGAGUGAAAUAGAACCUGAAACCGUGUGCUUACAAGUAGUCAGAGCCCGUUAAUGGGUGAUGGCGUGCCUUUUGUAGAAUGAACCGGCGAGUUACGAUUUGAUGCAAGGUUAAGCAGUAAAUGUGGAGCCGUAGCGAAAGCGAGUCUGAAUAGGGCGUUUAGUAUUUGGUCGUAGACCCGAAACCAGGUGAUCUACCCUUGGUCAGGUUGAAGUUCAGGUAACACUGAAUGGAGGACCGAACCGACUUACGUUGAAAAGUGAGCGGAUGAACUGAGGGUAGCGGAGAAAUUCCAAUCGAACCUGGAGAUAGCUGGUUCUCUCCGAAAUAGCUUUAGGGCUAGCCUCAAGUGAUGAUUAUUGGAGGUAGAGCACUGUUUGGACGAGGGGCCCCUCUCGGGUUACCGAAUUCAGACAAACUCCGAAUGCCAAUUAAUUUAACUUGGGAGUCAGAACAUGGGUGAUAAGGUCCGUGUUCGAAAGGGAAACAGCCCAGACCACCAGCUAAGGUCCCAAAAUAUAUGUUAAGUGGAAAAGGAUGUGGCGUUGCCCAGACAACUAGGAUGUUGGCUUAGAAGCAGCCAUCAUUUAAAGAGUGCGUAAUAGCUCACUAGUCGAGUGACACUGCGCCGAAAAUGUACCGGGGCUAAACAUAUUACCGAAGCUGUGGAUUGUCCUUUGGACAAUGGUAGGAGAGCGUUCUAAGGGCGUUGAAGCAUGAUCGUAAGGACAUGUGGAGCGCUUAGAAGUGAGAAUGCCGGUGUGAGUAGCGAAAGACGGGUGAGAAUCCCGUCCACCGAUUGACUAAGGUUUCCAGAGGAAGGCUCGUCCGCUCUGGGUUAGUCGGGUCCUAAGCUGAGGCCGACAGGCGUAGGCGAUGGAUAACAGGUUGAUAUUCCUGUACCACCUAUAAUCGUUUUAAUCGAUGGGGGGACGCAGUAGGAUAGGCGAAGCGUGCGAUUGGAUUGCACGUCUAAGCAGUAAGGCUGAGUAUUAGGCAAAUCCGGUACUCGUUAAGGCUGAGCUGUGAUGGGGAGAAGACAUUGUGUCUUCGAGUCGUUGAUUUCACACUGCCGAGAAAAGCCUCUAGAUAGAAAAUAGGUGCCCGUACCGCAAACCGACACAGGUAGUCAAGAUGAGAAUUCUAAGGUGAGCGAGCGAACUCUCGUUAAGGAACUCGGCAAAAUGACCCCGUAACUUCGGGAGAAGGGGUGCUCUUUAGGGUUAACGCCCAGAAGAGCCGCAGUGAAUAGGCCCAAGCGACUGUUUAUCAAAAACACAGGUCUCUGCUAAACCGUAAGGUGAUGUAUAGGGGCUGACGCCUGCCCGGUGCUGGAAGGUUAAGAGGAGUGGUUAGCUUCUGCGAAGCUACGAAUCGAAGCCCCAGUAAACGGCGGCCGUAACUAUAACGGUCCUAAGGUAGCGAAAUUCCUUGUCGGGUAAGUUCCGACCCGCACGAAAGGCGUAACGAUUUGGGCACUGUCUCAACGAGAGACUCGGUGAAAUCAUAGUACCUGUGAAGAUGCAGGUUACCCGCGACAGGACGGAAAGACCCCGUGGAGCUUUACUGUAGCCUGAUAUUGAAAUUCGGCACAGCUUGUACAGGAUAGGUAGGAGCCUUUGAAACGUGAGCGCUAGCUUACGUGGAGGCGCUGGUGGGAUACUACCCUAGCUGUGUUGGCUUUCUAACCCGCACCACUUAUCGUGGUGGGAGACAGUGUCAGGCGGGCAGUUUGACUGGGGCGGUCGCCUCCUAAAAGGUAACGGAGGCGCUCAAAGGUUCCCUCAGAAUGGUUGGAAAUCAUUCAUAGAGUGUAAAGGCAUAAGGGAGCUUGACUGCG